rnacentral:sRNA from 1 species
AUGAUCUUGACGCUCCCAUCCUCCUCCCGGGAUCGUCAGUGUUGGUUGCAGCUUCUUCUCCUCCCGAGCUGCCAACCGGAAUUGAGAGCCUGCUGCACCUCCUCCCGCAGCAGGCUCUUUUC